GAUGAACGCUGGCGGCGUGCUCAACACAUGCAAGUCGAACGGAAAGGCCGAAGCUUGCUUCGGUACUCGAGUGGCGAACGGGUGAGUAACACGUGGGUGAUCUGCCCUGUACUUCGGGAUAAGCUUGGGAAACUGGGUCUAAUACCGGAUAUGACAAUCUCUUGGAUGGGGUUGUGGAAAGCUUUUGCGCUAUGGUAUGAGCUCGCGGCCUAUCAGCUUGUUGGCGGGGUAAUUGCCUACCAAGGCGUCGACGGGUAGCCGGCCUGAGAGGGUGUACGGCUACAUUGGGAAUGAGUUACGGUCCAGACUCCUACGGGAGGCAGCAGUGAGGAAUAUUGCACAAUGGGCGCAAGCCUGAUGCAGCGACGCCGCGUGGGGUAUGACGGCCGUCGGGUUGUAAGCUCCUUUCGCAACCGACGAAGCUUUUGUGACGGUAGGUUGAGAAGAAGCACCGGCUAACUACGUG
rnacentral:rRNA from 1 species